rnacentral:rRNA from 1 species
GUGGGGAAUCUUGCGCAAUGGGCGAAAGCCUGACGCAGCCAUGCCGCGUGAAUGAUGAAGGUCUUAGGAUUGUAAAAUUCUUUCACCGGGGACGAUAAUGACGGUACCCGGAGAAGAAGCCCCGGCUAACUUCGUGCCAGCAGCCGCGGUAAUACGAAGGGGGCUAGCGUUGCUCGGAAUUACUGGGCGUAAAGGGCGCGUAGGCGGACAGUUUAGUCAGAGGUGAAAGCCCAGGGCUCAACCUUGGAAUUGCCUUUGAUACUGGCUGUCUUGAGUACGGGAGAGGUGAGUGGAACUCCGAGUGUAGAGGUGAAAUUCGUAGAUAUUCGGAAGAACACCAGUGGCGAAGGCGACUCACUGGCCCGUUACUGACGCUGAGGCGCGAAAGCGUGGGGAGCAAACAGGAUUAGAUACCCGUGUAGUCC